rnacentral:rRNA from 1 species
GAUGAACGCUGGCGGCGUGCCUAAUACAUGCAAGUCGAGCGAACGGACGAGAAGCUUGCUUCUCUGAUGUUAGCGGCGGACGGGUGAGUAACACGUGGAUAACCCACCUAUAAGACUGGGAUAACUUCGGGAAACCGUAGCUAAUACCGGAUAAUAUUUUGAACCGCAUGGUUCAAAAGUGAAAGACGGUCUUGCUGUCACUUAUAGAUGGAUCCGCGCUGCAUUAGCUAGUUGGUAAGGUAACGGCUUACCAAGGCAACGAUGCAUAGCCGACCUGAGAGGGUGAUCGGCCACACUGGAACUGAGACACGGUCCAGACUCCUACGGGAGGCAGCAGUAGGGAAUCUUCCGCAAUGGGCGAAAGCCUGGCGGAGCAACGCCGCGUGAGUGAUGAAGGUCUUCGGAUCGUAAAACUCUGUUAUUAGGGAAGAACAUAUGUGUAAGUAACUGUGCACAUCUUGACGGUACCUAAUCAGAAAGCCACGGCUAACUACGUG